rnacentral:rRNA from 1 species
GCUGGCGGCAGCCUACACAUGCAAGUCGAGCGGUAGAGAGAAGCUUGCUUCUCUUGAGAGCGGCGGACGGGUGAGUAAUGCCUAGGAAUCUGCCUGGUAGUGGGGGAUAACGUUCGGAAACGGACGCUAAUACCGCAUACGUCCUACGGGAGAAAGCAGGGGACCUUCGGGCCUUGCGCUAUCAGAUGAGCCUAGGUCGGAUUAGCUAGUUGGUGAGGUAAUGGCUCACCAAGGCGACGAUCCGUAACUGGUCUGAGAGGAUGAUCAGUCACACUGGAACUGAGACACGGUCCAGACUCCUACGGGAGGCAGCAGUGGGGAAUAUUGGACAAUGGGCGAAAGCCUGAUCCAGCCAUGCCGCGUGUGUGAAGAAGGUCUUCGGAUUGUAAAGCACUUUAAGUUGGGAGGAAGGGUUGUAGAUUAAUACUCUGCAAUUUUGACGUUACCGACAGAAUAAGCACCGGCUAACUCUGUGCCAGCAGCCGCGGUAAUACAGAGGGUGCAAGCGUUAAUCGGAAUUACUGGGCGUAAAGCGCGCGUAGGUGGUUUGUUAAGUUGGAUGUGAAAUCCCCGGGCUCAACCUGGGAACUGCAUUCAAAACUGACUGACUAGAGUAUGGUAGAGGAUGGUGGAAUUUCCUGUGUAGCGGUGAAAUGCGUAGAUAUAGGAAGGCACACCAGUGGCGAAGGCGACCACCUGGACUAAUACUGACACUGAGUAGCGA